GUACCAGAAAAAGCUGAGGAAUGAGACCCAUGCAAAGUAAUAUAGAAACAUAACAAUCCACUCCUGAUGUUCUUCUGUGGAAAGAGGGGAGAAAUAAUCCCAAAGCAUUGUAUCAAGUGGGCAGAAGUGAGAUGGGCAGAGUCUCUUCCUGCCACUGCCUGAGGGAGAGAUCUCCACUUGCAGAGCAUCCGAAGUUGAUGAACAGCAUGGCACUUUGAAGAGCCUUCACUUACUGUGGAAACUCAGAGAAAUUGCUUUACCCUCACAGACUUCAGUUUUACCAUAUGUAUGGUAAUUGGUAUGUUUGAGAUUUAAAAUCAGUUCAUUUAAGUAACACUCCCAAUGGAGUAAGUCAUGUUAACUUUUUAAAAUCACAAAUCUGUAAGUUUGGAAAAGGAGAGAGGAAACUAUUACUUCUUAAGAGUUAUAGCCUGUCAGGUUAUCUUGCAAGCUGGGAAGCACAGCCUCCUCUAGCAGAAGCCCAGAGACAGGCACUUCAAAGGAGGAGGGGUUGGCUUGGAGCUUUAUGCUGAAAAAGUUAUCUAAAUAUGCAUAUUCAGUAGGUUACAGGAAGAGCUGUGAAUGUUCAUAAAGGUGGUCCUGAUGAAUGCAUAUUAAACAAGUAUGUUACAUAUGACCCAUGUUCAUCUCACAGAGAAGACUCGACAUUUAAAUAUUACAAUCAGGCCCAGUACAUCAAAAGGUUUUUCAGGACAGGAAGGCACUCAAGUACGCAAUCUCUGUAAACCCACUAGAACCAGUCCAUGGUCGGUGGGCUUCUUAACAGGAGAAAGUUACUGAAAUCACUCUCUUGUCCAGUCAAAGCUAUAGUUAUGGCUGGUAGAGUUCAGUUAGUCAGCAUCUGGUAGGGCUGCAAGUGUUUUAUUAGUGUUUAUGGUGAGGCCACUGCUUGUUUAGCUGCUAGAGAGAAAGAGAAUCCUUGUUGCAGUUAGAACCUAGUUUAUUCUUUAAGCGUAGGGGUGCAUAACUUAACCCUUGCCUGGCAUGGUAAUUUGUUAUGUUGCUGCCACAAAGAAUCUGUUCUGUCAAUCUUAGGAUCUCUAUUUUAACUUUAAUGCGGGUCAAUUGUCUGUAAACCAGAAAAGGGAGGGGAGUAUAACAAGUCGUGUCUAACCUGCUGUCCUGUCAUGGCUGGGAACUCCGUUUUUAAGAAUUUUCUGGGGUCCCCUUGGCCAAGAGGGGGUCCAUUCAAUCUGUAGGGGAGGAGUCUUAGGAUUUUAUUUUUAGUUUACAUUCUCCCCUUUUAGCCAAGAUGUGCCAGAGGCAACACUGAUGACCAAACAUUUAUUUUGUCUCAUGUCACUGCCAGGGUGGUGUCGUUACCUGCCCCAGGCUCAUUUUGUUCUUUGGUGGGAUCCCUGUGGCCAAGGGACUUGGAACCAAAAGACUUAAAACUAAUUAAACAUUGGAGGCCAGAUGAAGAUGGAGGUUCACAGGCACGCAUUAACCCUUAAAAACCUUUUGAGCAACAUAACCAAAAAGCAGUGUUACAAAAGUGACUUGUCUAUGAGUUCUGUGUGUUGAGCCAUGAGCUGUUUGGUAAUCUGUAUGCCCAUCUUUAAUUUGGAGGGUCUGAACUAAUUUUAUCUGUUGAAACUGGCCCUUACAAUCUCAUGUGCCCACCCCUUCUGUGAUAGUCCAUGGGCCUACUGGGAGGGUGCUUGAUACUGUAUUGCUUUAGCAGUAGUGCCUUGGCAAUGGAAAGCAGAUUGGCCUAGGGGGAUUGAAUAGUUUUCAAAUUCUAGAGAUACUAGGUAGAGAGAAAGGUAAUCUUCAAUGUUUUACCCAAUUUCUGUAAGCUGUAAAUAGUUUAAAAGAAAAAAGGUUUUAUUGACUCUGAAAAGCAAAACAUGAAGAAUUAGCAAUGUUUAUUUGAUUUUGAGGACAUUUGUCAAAGAUGUUCAAAGGCUCAAAGCUUUUAAUCAAAAUGGAAUUACAGGUCAUUGUAAUAGUUAUUCAUUAAACCAAGAGUAAUAAUCAAAAGACUUUAAAUGCAAUAUGGAAAGUCACAUGGAUGUAAAAACCUUAACCCUUUUAAAGCUUAGUUUUCCUAAGUAAUAAAAAAUCUAAUAAAGAAAACAUGGGAAUUAUCUUG
rnacentral:lncRNA from 10 species